AGAGUUUGAUCCUGGCUCAGAACGAACGCUGGCGGCAUGCCUAACACAUGCAAGUCGAACGAGACCUUCGGGUCUAGUGGCGCACGGGUGCGUAACGCGUGGGAAUCUGCCCUUGGGUUCGGGAUAACAGUUGGAAACGACUGCUAAUACCGGAUGAUGACUUCGGUCCAAAGAUUUAUCGCCCAGGGAUGAGCCCGCGUCGGAUUAGCUAGUUGGUGGGGUAAAGGCCUACCAAGGCAACGAUCCGUAGCUGGUCUGAGAGGAUGAUCAGCCACACUGGGACUGAGACACGGCCCAGACUCCUACGGGAGGCAGCAGUGGGGAAUAUUGGACAAUGGGCGCAAGCCUGAUCCAGCAAUGCCGCGUGAGUGAUGAAGGCCUUAGGGUUGUAAAGCUCUUUUACCCGGGAUGAUAAUGACAGUACCGGGAGAAUAAGCCCCGGCUAACUCCGUGCCAGCAGCCGCGGUAAUACGGAGGGGGCUAGCGUUGUUCGGAAUUACUGGGCGUAAAGCGUACGUAGGCGGCUUUGUAAGUUAGAGGUGAAAGCCCGGGGCUCAACUCCGGAAUUGCCUUUAAGACUGCAUCGCUUGAAUCAUGGAGAGGUGAGUGGAAUUCCGAGUGUAGAGGUGAAAUUCGUAGAUAUUCGGAAGAACACCAGUGGCGAAGGCGACUCACUGGACAUGUAUUGACGCUGAGGUACGAAAGCGUGGGGAGCAAACAGGAUUAGAUACCCCCGUAGUCC
rnacentral:rRNA from 1 species